AGAGUUUGAUCAUGGCUCAGAAUCAACGCUGGCGGCGUGCCUCAGACAUGCAAGUCGAACGAUUAAAGCUCCCUUCGGGGAGUGCAUAGAGUGGCGCACGGGUGAGUAACACGUAAGUAAUCUACCCUCGGGUGGGGAAUAACGUUCGGAAACGAACGCUAAUACCGCAUAAUGCAGCGGCACCGCAAGGUGACAGUUGUUAAAGAUUUAUUGCCUGGGGAGGAGCUUGCGGCAGAUUAGCUAGUUGGUAAGGUAACGGCUUACCAAGGCUACGAUCUGUAUCCGGUCUAAGAGGACGGUCGGACACACUGACACUGAAUAACGGGUCAGACUCCUACGGGAGGCAGCAGUCGGGAAUUUUGGGCAAUGGGCGAAAGCCUGACCCAGCAACGCCGCGUGAAGGAUGAAGUAUUUCGGUAUGUAAACUUCGAAAGAAUAGGAAGAAUAAAUGACGGUACUAUUUAUAAGCUCCGGCUAACUACGUGCCAGCAGCCGCGGUAAUAC
rnacentral:rRNA from 1 species